UCUGUGUUUCUCCCUCACAGGGCAAACAGAAGAGCCUCCGAGCGCCCUGUCCUCUCCCCUCCUGGACACCCCGCUGGACUCCCCCCUCAGCUGUGCUGACCUCACCCUCGACUCCACCGGAGAAAUCACUGUGGAGGACGUCAGGGAUUUUCUAACCACUGUGGACGAGGCAGAGAAUAACCUAAAGAACAUUAAAGAGGAGGAGGGACGUUCAACUGGCAUCCUCAUUAACUGAACAGCUGACCCUGCUGUAGAACAGGA